CUGGGGUGAGGUAGUAAGUUGUAUUGUUGUGGGGUUGGGAUUGUAGACCCCAAUUAGAAGAUAACUAUACAACUUACUACUUUCCCUGG
rnacentral:pre_miRNA from 12 species